GUGUCCGUAGCUCAAUGCAGAGCCGUCGGUUGUGAGCCGACAAGAUGCGGGUUCGUGCCCCGUCGGUCACCCCA
rnacentral:tRNA from 1 species